AAAUUGAAGAGUUUGAUCAUGGCUCAGAUUGAACGCUGGCGGCAGGCCUAACACAUGCAAGUCGAACGGUAACAGGAAGCAGCUUGCUGCUUUGCUGACGAGUGGCGGACGGGUGAGUAAUGUCUGGGAAACUGCCUGAUGGAGGGGGAUAACUACUGGAAACGGUGGCU
rnacentral:rRNA from 7 species